AUCAUUAAAAAUGGGUCCGGGUGGCUUCUCCGUCAGGGGCAGCCGCCCGACAAGCCUCCCCACCCAGUGUGUACCUUACCACCGUUGCUUUGGCGAGCCCGCCGGGGCCUCGAAGACCCCGCCGUCGAUUCUCCGUCGAGGGGAACCGGCGAGCGCCCGCCAGAGGCCACCCAAAAUACUCUGAUAACCUUUUGGCGUCUGAGCACUUUAUAAAUAAGUCUAAACUUUCAACAACGGAUCUCUUGGUUCUGGCAUCGAUGAAGAACGCAGCGAAAUGCGAUAAGUAAUGUGAAUUGCAGAAUUCAGUGAAUCAUCGAAUCUUUGAACGCACAUUGCGCCCCUUGGUAUUCCGGGGGGCAUGCCUGUUCGAGCGUCAUUGCAACCCUCAAGCUUUGCUUGGUAUUGGGCGUUCGCUUCCCCGUUUCGGGGGAGGCGCGCCUGUAAAUUAGUGGCGGCCCCGGGGGGACCUCAAGCGUAGUAGAACCUUUUCGCUUGGGCGGUGCCACCCGGGGCCCGGCCGUCAACCUCUCCAUCGAUCAAUGAUUGACCUCGGAUCAGGCAGGGAUACCCGCUGAACUUAAGCAUAUCAAUAAGCGGAGGA
rnacentral:rRNA from 1 species